GACGAACGCUGGCGGCGUGCUUAACACAUGCAAGUCGAGCGGUAAGGCCCUUUCGGGGGUACACGAGCGGCGAACGGGUGAGUAACACGUGGGUGACCUGCCCUUAGCUCUGGGAUAAGCCUGGGAAACUGGGUCUAAUACCGGAUAUGACUCCAUGACGCAUGUUGUGGGGUGGAAAGCCUUGUGCGGCUAGGGAUGGGCCCGCGGCCUAUCAGCUUGUUGGUGGGGUGAUGGCUACCAAGGCGACGACGGGUAGCCGGCCUGAGAGGGCGACCGGCCACACUGGGACUGAGACACGGCCCAGACUCCUACGGGAGGCAGCAGUGGGGAAUCUUGCGCAAUGGGCGAAAGCCUGACGCAGCGACGCCGCGUGGGGAUGACGGCCUCGG
rnacentral:rRNA from 1 species